AUAAAGCACGGAUUUUAUUUUAUCGCGGGGUGGAGCAGUAUGGUAGCUCGUCAGGCUCAUAACCUGAAGGUCGUGGGUUCAAAUCCUACCCCCGCAA
rnacentral:tRNA from 1 species